GCAAAGGCAAUGAAAAGAAGAGUACAGCCUGAAAGAUUUUACAGAGAACCUCCGGUAGCUGCGAAGGAGGAAAUGCGGAAGGGUUGGAAGAUGGUCUUGGAGCCGCGCACCGAGAGGGUUUCCCUUUAGGCUGCGACGGGAGCGCCCGUGACAGCGCUGGAGUAUCGGCAAAUGCCCGUACUUGAUAAGGCAGUAAUCGUGAGGUUGCUGUGAAUUAGGGUGGUAACACGAAGCAUAUUAUGCUCUCGUCCCUUUG
rnacentral:ncRNA from 1 species